rfam:Stomoxys calcitrans breed 8C7A2A5H3J4 unplaced genomic scaffold Scaffold1148, whole genome shotgun sequence.
GCCACCGUAGCGCAGAGGUUAGCAUGUCCGCCUAUGACGCUGAACGCCUGGGUUCGAAUCCUCAGCGGUGGCU